rnacentral:rRNA from 1 species
AACGGACGCUGGCGGCAUGCCUAACACAUGCAAGUCGAACGAUGCUUUCGGGCAUAGUGGCGCACGGGUGCGUAACGCGUGGGAAUCUGCCCUUGGGUUCGGAAUAACAGUGAGAAAUUGCUGCUAAUACCGGAUGAUGUCUUCGGACCAAAGAUUUAUCGCCCAGGGAUGAGCCCGCGUAGGAUUAGCUAGUUGGUGGGGUAAUGGCCUACCAAGGCGACGAUCCUUAGCUGGUCUGAGAGGAUGAUCAGCCACACUGGGACUGAGACACGGCCCAGACUCCUACGGGAGGCAGCAGUAGGGAAUAUUGGACAAUGGGCGCAAGCCUGAUCCAGCAAUGCCGCGUGAGUGAUGAAGGCCUUAGGGUUGUAAAGCUCUUUUACCCGGGAUGAUAAUGACAGUACCGGGAGAAUAAGCGCCGGCUAACUCCGUG